GAUGAACGCUGGCUACAGGCUUAACACAUGCAAGUCGUGGGGAAACGGCAUUAUGUGCUUGCACAUUCUGGACGUCGACCGGCGCACGGGUGAGUAUCGCGUAUCCAACCUGCCCCUUACUUGGGGAUACCCCGUUGAAAGACGGCCUAAUACCCGAUGUGUUUCAUUGACGGCAUCCGAUAUGAAACAAAGGUUUUCCGGUAAGGGAUGGGGAUGCGUCUGAUUAGCUUGUUGGCGGGGCAACGGCCCACCAAGGCGACGAUCAGUAGGGGUUCUGAGAGGAAGGUCCCCCACAUUGGAACUGAGACACGGUCCAAACUCCUACGGGAGGCAGCAGUGAGGAAUAUUGGUCAAUGGACGCAAGUCUGAACCAGCCAAGUAGCGUGCAGGAUGACGGCCCUAUGGGUUGUAAACUGCUUUUAUGUGGGAAUAAAGUGGCGCACGUGUGCGCCAUUGCAUGUACCUCAUGAAUAAGGACCGGCUAAUUCCGUGCCAGCAGCCGCGGUAAUACGGAAGGUCCGGGCGUUAUCCGGAUUUAUUGGGUUUAAAGGGAGUGUAGGCGGUCUGUUAAGCGUGUUGUGAAAUUUAGGUGCUCAACAUUUAACUUGCAGCGCGAACUGUCAGACUUGAGUACACGCAGCGCAGGCGGAAUUCAUGGUGUAGCGGUGAAAUGCUUAGAUAUCAUGAGGAACUCCGAUCGCGAAGGCAGCCUGCGGGAGUGUUACUGACGCUUAAGCUCGAGGGUGCGGGUAUCGAACAGG
rnacentral:rRNA from 1 species